rnacentral:misc_RNA from 1 species
AUGUCUAUUUAAUUAUAAUAAUUAAAUGCAUAGAAAAUAUUUUUUUGAACGAGCCAAACAAAAAUUAAUUUUUUUGACUUUGGUGUACUAUUUAAAAAGAUGUCUGCCGUGGUAACCUUGUAAAGGAGCAGUAUUGCCAUUAUGAGUCGUAUCUUGUAUAAAAUAACAAGUACGCCUUUGUGCUUAUUAAUGCUGUUCCGUGGUUUUUCAAUGAAUUUUCGCCCGGCGCCUUAAAUGGCAUCUUUAUGCUAGCGUUACGCGCGUUUGGUAUAAAUAUUGUAGAAAAAUUAAUAUUUUUCUUUAUUUAAUAUCCAGGCGUUAGCGUAUCAGCCGGCCGGUGCAUUUGUCGUUUGAAAUUUUAUAUUUCUUACUGACAUUAAUGCACCAAACCGCUUUGAAGCAAAACAUUUUUAAAAUUUAUUUUUUAAAAAAUAUUUGUCUAUCAAAAACGGCUUAUCGAAUUCUGAAAAAUUAUAUAAUUU